UCUCCUACGGGGCGCAGCAGUGGGGGAUAUUGGACAAUGGGGGAAACCCUGAUCCAGCGACGCCGCGUGAGUGAAGAAGUAUUUCGGUAUGUAAAGCUCUGUCAGCAGGGAAGAAAGAAAUGACGGUACCUGACCAAGAAGCCCCGGCUAACUACGUGCCAGCAGCCGCGGUAAUACGUAGGGGGCAAGCGUUAUCCGGAUUUACUGGGUGUAAAGGGAGCGUAGACGGCGAUGCAAGUCUGAAGUGAAAGCCCGGGGCUCAACCCCGGGACUGCUUUGGAAACUGUAUGGCUGGAGUGCUGGAG
rnacentral:rRNA from 1 species